AUGCAAGUCGUGCGGUAACAGGGCUUCACCGUGCUCUUGACGCGCUUGGCGCUUGACGCAAGCGGACAGAUUUCGAGAGUACAGUGAAGCUGCUGACGAGCGGCGGACGGCUGAGUAACGCGUGGGAACGGACCCCAAACUGAGGGAUAACUACUCGAAAGAGUGGCUAAUACCGCAUGUGAUCUUCGGAUUAAAGCUUCGGCGGUUUGGGACUGGCCUGCGUAGGAUUAGAUAGUUGGUGAGGUAAUGGCUCACCAAGUCGACGAUCCUUAGAUGGUUUGAGAGGAUGAUCAUCCAGACUGGGACUGAGACACGGCCCAGACUCCUACGGGAGGCAGCAGUAGGGAAUCUUUCACAAUGGGCGAAAGCCUGAUGGAGCAACGCCGCGUGCAGGAUGAAGGCCUUCGGGUUGUAAACUGCUUUUAUAUCUGAGAAAUAUGAUGGUAAGAUAUGAAUAAGGAUCGGCUAACUACGUGCC
rnacentral:rRNA from 1 species